GGACCCGCACAAGCGGUGGAGCAUGUGGUUUAAUUCGAUGCAACGCGAAAAACCUUACCUACACUUGACAUACUUCGAAUUUUCUAGAGAUAGAUUAGUGCCUUCGGGAGCGAAGAUACAGGUGCUGCAUGGCUGUCGUCAGCUCGUGUCGUGAGAUGUUGGGUUAAGUCCUAUAACGAGCGCAACCCUUACCCUUAUUUGCCAGCGGUUAGGCCGGGAACUAUAAGGGAACUGCCGGUAAUAAGCCGGAGGAAGGUGGGGACGACGUCAAGUCAUCAUGGCCCUUACGUGUAGGGCUACACACGUGCUACAAUGGGAGAUACAGACGGUUGCUAAAGCGCGAGCUGGAGCCAAUCCGACAAAGUCUCUCGUAGUCCGAAUUGCAGUCUGGAACUCGACUGCAUG
rnacentral:rRNA from 1 species